CCUACGGGUGGCAGCAGUAGGGAAUCUUCCACAAUGGGCGAAAGCCUGAUGGAGCAACGCCGCGUGGGUGCAGAAGGUCUUCGGAUCGUAAAACCCUGUUGUUAGAGAAGAAAGUGCGUGAGAGUAACUGUUCACGUUUCGACGGUAUCUAACCAGAAAGCCACGGCUAACUACGUGCCAGCAGCCGCGGUAAUACGGAGGGUGCAAGCGUUAAUCGGAUUUCUUGGGCGUAAAGGGCACGCAGGCGGUCUUUUAAGUCUUGUGUGAAAGCCGUCGGCUUAACCUGAGUAGUGCAUUUGAAACUGGGAGACUUGAGUGUGUAAGAGGAGAGUGGAACUCCAGGUGUAGCGGUGAAAUGCGUAGAUAUAUGGAAGAACACCAGUGGCGAAGGCGGCUCUCUGGCACGUAACUGACGCUGAGGUGCGAAAGCGUGGGUAGCAAACAGGAUUAGAUACCCCUGUAGUC
rnacentral:rRNA from 1 species